rnacentral:rRNA from 1 species
UACGUAGGGCGCAAGCGUUGUCCGGAAUUAUUGGGCGUAAAGAGCUCGUAGGCGGCUUGUCGCGUCGGUUGUGAAAGCCCGGGGCUUAACCCCGGGUCUGCAGUCGAUACGGGCAGGCUAGAGUUCGGUAGGGGAGAUCGGAAUUCCUGGUGUAGCGGUGAAAUGCGCAGAUAUCAGGAGGAACACCGGUGGCGAAGGCGGAUCUCUGGGCCGAUACUGACGCUGAGGAGCGAAAGCGUGGGGAGCGAACAGG